GGUAUGGGAUGAGCUUGCGUCCGAUUAGCUAGUUGGCGGGGCAACGGCCCACCAAGGCGACGAUCGGUAGCCGGCCUGAGAGGGUGAUCGGCCACAUUGGGACUGAGAUACGGCCCAGACUCCUACGGGAGGCAGCAGUAGGGAAUAUUGCACAAUGGGGGAAACCCUGAUGCAGCAACGCCACGUGUGGGAAGAAGCAUUUCGGUGUGUAAACCACUGUCGUGAGGGAAUAAGGCAUUGUUUCGGCGAUGUUGAAUGUACCUCGAGAGGAAGCACCGGCAAACUUCGUGCCAGCAGCCGCGGUAAUACGAGGGGUGCAAGCGUUGUUCGGAAUCACUGGGCGUAAAGGGAGCGUAGGCGGAGAUGCAAGCGGACUGUACAAUACCGGGGCCCAACCCCGGACCUGCAGUUCGGACUGCACCUCUUGGAUAGUUCAGGGGCAGGC
rnacentral:rRNA from 1 species